AGAGAGAGAAGUAGAGGGGGAUGAAUAGCAGAAGGGAUGGUUGAAUAACGACGCAAGAAACACCCACCCCCAGUUUUAGUCUGGACUGACUGACGGAAUAGUUGACUGAGAGAGGCUGAAACAAACCAGGGAGACAGACAUACACUCUGGGGAUUGAGAGGAUCCGUGGGAAAUAGGAGCGUUUAGGAUUUGAUGACUUGUGCAGAAGGAGCAUCACAGUUGUAAGGAUGCUGAUUGUAGGACUCCCAAUAAGGACGUGGUGUCCUCUGCUCUUCCUGGUGUUGGCUGUACAUUUCCCAGCCUCUGCCCAGGGUCAAGUUCCAGUUCCCAGAAGAUUACGUUUAAAUGU